rnacentral:lncRNA from 1 species
GGGAGGAGUAUUGUUUUAUGUGAUUGAUUGCUUAUUGGCGUUUAAAGUAAUUUCAGCACUAAUGCUUAUAUCGUGGCGAAAAGAUAACCACCGAUCUCGUCAGGAAAACCAUGACAUAACGACUAUCACAUCCUCAAGGAAGACGUAAAUCUUAAGUCUGUAUAAUUUUAAACUUGAUGGCAAUUGAAACAAAUAGAAACAGAUAC